rnacentral:rRNA from 1 species
GACGAACGCUGGCGGCGUGCUUAAUACAUGCAAGUCAACUUGACUUUAGAUAGCAAUAUCGAAAAGUAGGGUGGCGCACGGGUGCGUAACGCGUAGGUAAUCUGCCCUGAGGUCUGACAUAACCCGUCGAAAGGCGGCUAACAUCAGAUGAUAUAUAAUCACGACAUCGUGGAAAAUAUCAAAUCUUCGGAGCCUUGGGAUGAGCCUGCGUCUGAUUAGGUAGUUGGCGGAGUAAUAGCCCACCAAGCCUACGAUCAGUAGCUGGUCUGAGAGGAUGAUCAGCCACACUGGAACUGAGACACGGUCCAGACUCCUACGGGAGCAGCAGGUAA